rnacentral:lncRNA from 1 species
GCUGCUGCUCCGGCACCUGGACCAAUGCCCAAUAAUAGGCCUCCGAGCACCGCCACGCCGAGCCCCACCCCGCAUGGAACUUCAAGUCCUCGUCCGAGCGCCACCCCUCGUGGAACUUCAAGUCCUCCUCCUCCGAGAGCUACCCCGCCUGGAACUUCAAGUCCUCCUCCUCCGAGCGCUACCCCGCCUGGAACUUCAAGUCCUCCUCCUCCGAGCGCCGCUACGCCUGGAACUCCGAGCUCCAGCUCGCGUGGAACUUCAAGUCCUCCUCCCGAGGCCAACUCAGCUUCUCUCCUUGUUGCUACUCUCUCCCCUAUCUUGUACUUGUCCAUUGCCUUAGUUUUGUUGUGCUGAUACUGAUUCUAUGUUAUAA